GGUCAGGCGGGACUACCCGCUGAAUUUAAGCAUAUCAAUA
rnacentral:rRNA from 1 species